rnacentral:rRNA from 1 species
UUCGCAAUGCCCGAAAGGGUGACGAAGCGACGCCGCGUGGGUGAGGAAGGCCCUCGGGUUGUAAAGCCCUGUCAGGAGUUAAGAAAUGUAGAUUCGCUAAUAUCGGGUCUAUUUGACGAAGGCUCCAAAGGAAGCCACGGCUAACUCUGUGCCAGCAGCCGCGGUAAUACAGAGGUGGCAAGCGUUGUUCGGAAUUAUUGGGCGUAAAGAGCACGUAGGUGGAUUUGUAAGUCAGAUGUGAAAGCCUUCUGUUCAACGGGAGAAUUGCAUCUGAAACUACAGACCUUGAGUAUAGGAGGGGAGAAUGGAACUUCUGGUGGAGCGGUGAAAUGCGUAGAUAUCAGAAGGAACGCCGGCGGCGAAAGCGAUUCUCUGGCCUAUUACUGACACUCAGUGUGCGAAAGCUAGGGGAGCAAACGGGAUUAGAUACCUCGGUAGUCCUAGCCGUAAACGAUGGGCACUAAGUAGAGGGGUUUU